CGGACACAGCAGGAAGAGGUUUUGCCGUAUUCAGUGAUUCACUAUUGCAUGGUAUUGCCUGGGAGAGGAUAUGGAUAAGUCUCAAGGGUCUGUACAAAGGCAAAGAGACUUGCCUGAGGCCAAACAAGAAGAGCUGAAAACAGAAGGUAGGUGGUCUCCUCCCAGCCCCUGCCCUGUCCUCCAGCCCACGGUGCCUCCACCAUACAAGUUCCUCCAUUUCUAAACUCCCCUCAGCCACAAGUCUCAGUCAAGCUGCCUCCUUUUUAUGCUUCCUGUCUUUGGAGAAAUACUGGUGGUGUCUCUGAGGCCACCCAGGAGAUCUACCAAAUGAUUUCUUAGGGCCCUGACUUAUGUUCCAAACAGACAUGACUUCCCAGAGCAUCCUCCCCGCAGGAUGCAGAUUUUGCAUUAUUUUCAUCUUCUUAGGGAUUGCUUGCUUACACAUGUAUGCUUCCACCAUAUCUCUACAGCUAUGUCAUCAUCUACAACCCUUAUCACUGAAAGCCAUCUGAAUCCAGUGGGACCAUGAGGCUGCUUCUCCAUCAGCCCAGCUGUCACAACAUUUUAGAAAGGAAGGUCAAUAGCAUGAUCCUCAAUGUACAGAUGGGGAAACUGAGGCACAGAGACAAAGUGACUUGCUCCAGCUCUCU